UUGGAUCUUCUGUUCAUCUAGGAGCAUCUGUCCCACAACCUGAAACAGUUCAUAUAAAUACUAUAGAUUAGGAAGUCCAGAACAACAUCCUAGAGUUUGAAGGUGGUGUUUGCUCGACAUUCAGAAUCGGGUACUUUGCUAGAUUACAAUGGUAUCAAAGCAGCGAGUGGCUGUUCUACUCGGCACAUCUAUGAAGCUGGUUGUGGAGGGUGCUUCCAACAUAACUUCAGGAACAGUGUACAGAACAAUUGGUGGAACUUGUAUGCUACAGAAAGUAGCACAGGGGCUGGCCAGCUGAGCAGACAGCACACUGGAGAUGUGAUCCUGUGGUCCCAGGUUGAAUCCUGGAAAUGGUGGGCCGAGUUUUUCACCCUAUGCCCCUAAUAAGAAUUGGGAAGUCCAGCUGUUCAUCCUAGAGUUUGAAGGUGUUGAUUGCUUGACAUUCAGAAUGGGGUGGUAAUGGAGAUUAUGAUGGUAUCAAGGAAUUGACUGGCUUAAGAAGUGUGGCUGUUCUACUCUGCACAUCCAAUAAACUGGUGGUGGUUGUCCUUGGUACUCUGGAUGUUUUCCUGGCCUUUGAAGUUGUUUGGAGUCUUCAGUUGAAACUUCAACCUGAAACAAAAUUGUCAACAUUAGUUAUAUUGUAUACUAUUUAAUAAAUCUUUUAAUGAAAA